rnacentral:rRNA from 1 species
UGGGGAAUAUUGGACAAUGGGGGGAACCCUGAUCCAGCCAUGCCGCGUGUGUGAAGAAGGCCUUAUGGUUGUAAAGCACUUUAAGCGAGGAGGAGGCUCUCUUGGUUAAUACCCAAGAAGAGUGGACGUUACUCGCAGAAUAAGCACCGGCUAACUCUGUGCCAGCAGCCGCGGUAAUACAGAGGGUGCGAGCGUUAAUCGGAUUGACUGGGCGUAAAGCGUGCGUAGGCGGCUUUUUAAGUCGGAUGUGAAAUCCCCGAGCUUAACUUGGGAAUUGCAUUCGAUACUGGGAAGCUAGAGUAUGGGAGAGGAUGGUAGAAUUCCAGGUGUAGCGGUGAAAUGCGUAGAGAUCUGGAGGAAUACCGAUGGCGAAGGCAGCCAUCUGGCCUAAUACUGACGCUGAGGUACGAAAGCAUGGGGAGCAAACAGG